ACUUGUUGUUCCUAUGUCAUGAAACGAGACGAAAUGGGCGAAACAAAACAAAUCGCUGCUAAUUAUACUUAUAUUCCUGUGAUUUCAAAUACCAAAUGGAACUUCGUAUCUUAUAUGCAUACUUGCAUAGCUACUGUCAGCUGCCAGUCAUUCCAACAAGUUGACUUAGCGCUCAGUCACUUUCCAUCUAUUAGAUCCUCAUACUGCCCAAAGCCUAAAACUCCUGUUUGAAGCCCACAUAGAGUGGAAUACAAAUGUAAGGAGAUAAGGUAUUUUCCCACUACUGCAACCACACCAACCACACUACGUCAAAUGUGUUACUAAAUUAUAUCCCAAAUGAUAAAGGAAAUUUAUCCCACCUGAGGAGUAAUACUGUUGGUUGCUG